rnacentral:lncRNA from 1 species
AAAGAGAGUGUUACCAUUUUCUUAAAUUCUCUGCACAUAAAAUAGAUUGAUAAAUAAAUAAAAAAUCAAGAAAAUAAUAAGAAGGACAUAUAAAAUAUUGGGAUAUUACAUUGUUAACACCUUAUAAUAGUUUCAUCCGCAAAACUAGAAAUUCGAAAAGAUAUUUAAGAUAGAGUUCCGUUUCUAAAUAAAAUUAUAGGGUAAGGGAAUCACUUUCUAAAAGAUAAAGUUAAAGUAUUUUGACACAUAAAUAAAAUAGUUAUUUAUAUUUUAAAAUAAAAUUUUUGGGUCUUACAUUCAACCCACCAAUAAUUUAGUUUCCUCCCGGAAGUUAGACAAUAAAAAAAGAUUUUAGGUAGAUUUUUCAAAAGCUCUUUAUGUAAAAUAUUCCUUUAAAUAAAUAUGAACAAGUAAUUUUAAUAAUGAAUUAAAAAGUCAUGUUUCUGCUGCGCACUUUAAUGUCAAGAUACAUCAUUCAAAUUGAACAAUUCUCAUAAAAAUUAUUUUCAAAAUGCAACAUUAGAAGAAUAAAGAGUCUUUUUCAAAUAUAUAAUAAUACAUAAUUAAAAAUAAAGCAACAGGAAGUCAGUAACAAUGUUUUUGUCUUUUCAAGCAACAGGAAAAAUAAUUUGUGACAGUCUCCAGAAAACAAAAUACGUACAUAUAUGGAACUGGAUUUAUUUAUUAAGCUAACUUUAUUAAUUAAUAACCAUGCAGUUAUGUUGUUGUUUACUAUAUCCUCUCUGAGCGAAGAAAGAUAAAAUUACUUGCAUAAUAUAAUACUACAUAAUACAAAAUUAUGAAUCCUUUGCAUAAUACAAAUUUUGAAAUAAAUUAUUAAGUGCACAAACAUUAUGACAUCACAUAAAAUUAUAUUAUAAAAGGUUCAAUUUAAUUAAUUAACUCACAAAAAUUUUCUUUGCAUAACCAAGCAUAACGGUUUCCUGAUGGUGGACAAUCCCCUAUAUAUUUGCAGGGGAUAUUAGCUGCAUUGUCAAAUAAGAAAAAAGGAACGUCAUUAAAAAAUUUAUACUAUUGUGUAUAAGAUAAAUUUGAAAAUUGUAUAAAAAAUGACAUACUUUUCUUAUAAGCAAAGGAUUCAACAAGAAAUGUAAAAAAAAAAAUGAUCAAAGCAUAAAUAAACAUGUCGAUUUUAGUUGUACUUUUCUUAUUUUGUAUUUC